rnacentral:lncRNA from 1 species
GCUUCUUCUACUUGAUUUUGCAGAAAAAGAUAUAAAUCCUGCAUUUAUGACAUCACAGUUUGUUGCCAUGGAAUUUACUAUGCUAUUGCAAACACCCUGUUGUGAUUACAUGACAGCUUCCAAUCAGAGGAUAAAAUCUUUCCCAGUGAGAAAACACAUCUUGAAGUUAAGAAAAUAUGAAUGGGAGAAAUAAAUCAGUCUUUUUAAGUGCUGAGCACCAGCCUGAUACUAUACAGACAUGGAAUGAGACAUUUUUAACUUCACAGAGCUCACAAGUUGAUGUAGACAGACACAUUACAGGGGAGGCUUGCAGUAUGCCUGGCAGGAAUAUAGACUUGAAGCAGUUAUGAGACUGACUGUUGUUACAGUUGCAUUGCAGGAAGGAGCCAGUGAAAUAAUAAAAAGAGAGAGUUUGGAGAGCCACUGGUUAGAGAUGCUCUGUGUGCUUCAGAAGCAAGAAGAGCUAAGAAAAAAAGAGGAUGUGUUUGUAUAUGCAAAGGCAAGGUUGCUCCAUCAGCGUGAGCAAGCAACUGGGGCAUGGAUUGCAUUUCCAGGGAGACGAAGAGGGUGGCAAAGCAGUCAGAGGAGGCUGGGAAGGGCAAAUGCAUGAAGGGAGAGUCAGUGGAUAUUAGGGCAGAGGUGGAACCGCAGCUGUGCUGUGCAGACUUUGAAGGGCUGACUGCAUCCUGGCACAGGGAAGGUAGUGAGGAAUUCAAAAGUGUGGUUUACAUGAGCAAAGCCCACAGAAACACAAGAGAUCUCCUUGAGAAUCCUGAUCCCAACAGACUUCCAGCCUUUUUCUCAGAGAGUAGAGCACAGCUGGUUCAGGCAAAGUCCAAAGUUCAAGCAAGUUUACCAGAGCCCAAGACCACUGUGAAGAUGCAAUAUCAAAAAGAAUUAAAAGCUGCAGUACAUUAUGUGCAUUACAGUCACUGUAGCCUGACGCAUCAUUUUUCUUCUGCCUUUUUAACAUUGCAAACUAAAAAAGAGUGCAGUGUUAAAAAGCUCAGAGUUAUUGAAAACUGCAACGUGGGGUUUGUUUAGAAGGUUUUGGAAUUGUGCAUCCACA